rnacentral:rRNA from 1 species
AUUGAACGCUGGCGGCAGGCCUAACACAUGCAAGUCGAGCGGAUGAAGAGAGCUUGCUCUCUGAUUUAGCGGCGGACGGGUGAGUAAUGCCUAGGAAUCUGCCUGGUUGUGGGGGAUAACGUUCCGAAAGGAACGCUAAUACCGCAUACGUCCUACGGGAGAAAGCAGGGGACCUUCGGGCCUUGCGCUAUCAGAUGAGCCUAGGUCGGAUUAGCUAGUUGGUGAGGUAAUGGCUCACCAAGGCGACGAUCCGUAACUGGUCUGAGAGGAUGAUCAGUCACACUGGGACUGAGACACGGUCCAGACUCCUACGGGAGGCAGCAGUGGGGAAUAUUGGACAAUGGGCGAAAGCCUGAUCCAGCCAAGCCGCGUGUGUGAAGAAGGUCUUCGGAUUGUAAAGCACUUUAAGUUGGGAGGAAGGGCAGUAAGUUAAUACCUUGCUGUUUUGACGUUACCGACAGAAUAAGCACCGGCUAACUUCGUGCCAGCCGCCGCAGUAAGAC